rnacentral:lncRNA from 1 species
AUUAGAAUUCACCAAAAUUGUCCUAGCCUCUCUUGCCGUCUUUACAUACAUGAAUUUUUUGAAUGCAUGCAACUGGACUUUGGAAAAGAGAUAAUGAAUUAUCUCUUACGAAUCAAGUAGCUCGAAAACUCUCUCUCUCUCUCUAUCUCAUGAACCAUUGGCAAAUCUAAUUAACCAUGGCAGCCGAGUCUGCCCCCCCUCCUCCGGGUGGGGGGCUGUCGGCCUCUUCCUCCCCCUUUAGGAAGAAGGCCUUCUCUGCGUUG